rnacentral:rRNA from 1 species
UGAGGAAUAUUGGUCAAUGGGCGAGAGCCUGAACCAGCCAAGUCGCGUGAAGGAUGACGGCCCUACGGGUUGUAAACUUCUUUUGUCAGGGAGCAAUUGAGUCCACGUGUGGUCUUAGCGAGAGUACCUGAAGAAAAAGCAUCGGCUAACUCCGUGCC